rnacentral:pre_miRNA from 1 species
UAUCUACUCCCUCCGUUCCACAAUACAUACCUUCCAUUUGUCAAAAUAUAGAUGUAUCUAGACAUGUUUUAGUAUAUAGGUACAUUUAUUUUUGGAUAAAUGGAAGUUAAAGUAUUUUGGAACGAAGGGAGCAGUAG